GGGCCUGUAGCUCAAGCUGGUUAGAGCGCACGCCUGAUAAGCGUGAGGUCGGUGGUUCCAGUCCACUCAGGCCCACCA
rnacentral:tRNA from 1 species